rnacentral:rRNA from 1 species
AAGUACAGUGGCGCACGGGUGAGUAACACGUGGAUGAUCCACCUCCUUGUGGGGAAUAACCUGGGGAAACCCGGGCUAAUACCGCAUACGCUCGAGAGAGGAAAGCCGCAAGGCGCAGGAAGAGGAGUCCGCGGCCGAUUAGCUGGUUGGUGAGGUAACGGCCCACCAAGGCGACGAUCGGUAGCCGGCCUGAGAGGGCACACGGCCACACUGGCACUGCAACACGGGCCAGACUCCUACGGGAGGCAGCAGUGGGGAAUCUUGCACAAUGGGCGAAAGCCUGAUGCAGCGACGCCGCGUGCGCGAUGACGACCUUCGGGGUGUAAAGCGCUUACGGCCCAGAGGAUAAUGACAGUAUGGGCAGAAGAAGCUGCGGCUAACUACGUGCCAGCAGCCGCGGUAAUACGUAGGCAGCGAGCGUUGUUCGGAGUUACUGGGCGUAAAGAGUGCGUAGGCGGCAUGGCAAGUCUGGUGUGAAAUCUCCCGGCUCAACCGGGAGGGUGCGCCGGAGACUGCCAAGCUUGGAGUACGGGAGAGGCACGUGGAAUUCCUGGUGUAGCGGUGAAAUGCGUAGAGAUCAGGAGGAACACCGGUGGUGUAGACG